rnacentral:rRNA from 1 species
AGCGAACGCUGGCGGCGUGCCUAACACAUGCCAGUCGAACGUGAAAGGGAGCAAUCCCAAGUAAAGUGGCGUACGGGUGAGUAACACGUAGGUAAUCUACCCCAGAAUCUGGAAUAACCGGCCGAAAGGCUGGCUAAUACUGGAUAGAGCGACGGAAUCCGUAAUUGGGUUUUUCGGGAAAGGGAGCCUGUAAAAAGGCCUUCGUUCUGGGAUGAGCCUGCGUCCCAUCAGCUAGUUGGUGAGGUAAAAGCUUACCAAGGCAAUGACGGGUAGCUGGUCUGAGAGGACGAUCAGACACACUGGAACUGAAACACGGUCCAGACUCCUACGGGAGGCAGCAGUGGGGAAUCUUGCGCAAUGGACGAAAGUCUGACGCAGCAACGCCGCGUGAGUGAAGAAGGCCUUCGGGUUGUAAAGCUCUGUCGAGUGGGACGAAAAUGCUUGGAGUUCACAGCUCCAGGAACUGACGGUACCACUAAAGGAAGCACCGGCUAACUCCGUG